rnacentral:misc_RNA from 1 species
GAUGAAGAACGUAGCGAAAUGCGAUAAGUAGUGUGAAUUGCAGAAUUCAGUGAAUCAUCGAAUCUUUGAACGCACAUUGCGCCCCAUGGCAUUCCGUGGGGCAUGCCUGUUCGAGCGUCAUUUACCCCCUCAAGCUCCGCUUGGUGUUGGGCGUCUGUCCCGCUUCGCGCGCGGACUCGCCCCAAAGGUAUUGGCAGCGGUCGUGCCAGCUUCUCGCGCAGCACAUUGCGCUUCUCGAGGCACCGGUGGGCCCGCGUCCAUCAAGCUCACCCCCCCAGUUUGACCUCGGAUCAGGUAGGGAUACCCGCUGAACUUAAGCAUAUCAAUAAGCGGAGGA